rnacentral:rRNA from 1 species
GAUGAACGCUGGCGGCGUGCUUAACACAUGCAAGUCAAGGGGGCCCGAAGCGCAAGCUUUGGGCAACCGGCGAACGGGUGCGUAACACGUGAGCAACCUACCCAGGUGUGGGGGAGUAGCCGGCCCAACGGCCGGGGUAAUACCGCAUACGCUCUUUUCGAGGCAUUUCGGGAAGAGGAAACCUUCGGGGCACGAUGAGGGGCUCGCGGCCUAUCAGCUAGUUGGCGAGGUAACGGCUCACCAAGGCUACGACGGGUAGCUGGUCUGAGAGGAUGACCAGCCACAUUGGGACUGAGAGACGGCCCAGACUCCUACGGGAGGCAGCAGUGGGGAAUCUUGCGCAAUGGCCUAACGGCUGACGCAAGCGACGCCGCGUGAGGGAUGACGCUCUUCGGAGUGUAAAACCUCUUUUGCCUGGAACGAAUCGUCAGCAUCAGCUGACUUGACGGUACCGGGUG